GACGAACGCUGGCGGCGUGCUUAACACAUGCAAGUCGAACGGAAAGGCCCUGCUUUUGUGGGGUGCUCGAGUGGCGAACGGGUGAGUAACACGUGAGUAACCUGCCCUUUACUUUGGGAUAACUUCAGGAAACUGGGGCUAAUACCGGAUAGGAGCUCCUGCUGCAUGGUGGGGGUUGGAAAGUUUCGGCGGUUGGGGAUGGACUCGCGGCUUAUCAGCUUGUUGGUGGGGUAGUGGCUUACCAAGGCUUUGACGGGUAGCCGGCCUGAGAGGGUGACCGGCGACAUUGGGACUGAGAUACGGCCCAGACUCCUACGGGAGGCAGCAGUGGGGAAUAUUGCACAAUGGGCGGAAGCCUGAUGCAGCAACGCCGCGUGCGGGAUGACGGCCUUCGGGUUGUAAACCGCUUUCGCCUGUGACGAAGCGUGAGUGACGGUAAUGGGUAAAGAAGCACCGGCUAACUACGUG
rnacentral:rRNA from 1 species